rnacentral:misc_RNA from 1 species
CGCACCUUGCACCCUCUGGUAUUCCGGAGGGUAUGCCUGUUUGAGUGUCAUGUCAAUCAUCAUCCCACCGGGUCCUGCCCGGCGGAGUUGGAACUGGGCGCUGCCAUCCGUGGCUCGCCUCAAAUGCAUUGGUGGUCUAUGAUGGCACCGGUCGGCGUAAUACGUUUCGUCGUAAGGUUGCUGGAGUGGCUUCCUCGAACCCGCCCUUUCACAGGGAAGCAUCGAUUGACCUCAGAUCAGGUAGGACUACCCGCUGAACUUAA